GAGAAUGAAGGCUGAGGUGUGCGCCUUUUUUUUUUUUCCUUCUUAGUCGUGUGUACAUCAUUGGGAAUGGAGGGAAAUAAAUGACUGGAUGGUCGCUGCUUUUUAAGUUUCAAAUUGACAUUCCAGACAAGCGGUGCCUGAGCCCGUGCCUGUCUUCAGAUCUUCACAGCACAGUUCCUGGGAAGGUGGAGCCACCAGCCUCUCCCUGACAAGCAAAGUGGAUCAGCAAAGGCUGCAGUCACCAGCAUCUUUUCCAACCUUAAUGAACUGUAUCCUCAAAAGAACACUAUCAGACUGGCUCUGCCGACUUCCAGUUCUGGAACAAGAUGGUUAAACUCAUUUUUCCCUGCUCUGCUCCUCUAAAUACAACUAAGUACCUUGGAAACUAUUCAGCAGACAAUGAUAAAGGGCUCUGAAAGCUAGAAGAAAAGGUGUACUUGCAAGAAACCUCAGGACUUGAGUAACAGCAACAUGGCAGGCCAGAAAGCAGACCCAGGGAGGAUAGCACAUGUCUUCGGCUACACUGGUGAAGGCAUCGUGCCUGCUCCACAGCACAUUUUUAUUCAAGAACAAUCCAUUUCACAGAUGAAGAAACAGACUCAGUGAGCACGUGAUCACUUCUCACAACUAAUGGAGCCAAGAUUCUGUCCUUAUGGCUCCAGAGACCUCUUUUUUUUCCCACUGUACCACAACACUCACCAGGACUGGAGUGCCACCUAUGACCUCAUUGCAUAAUGGAUGGCUUGUCCUCAAAUGGGCCCGGUCUUGGACGAGCCUGAGGAUGUCUACAAGUGGAAGAAAAGAAGCCACUGGAGCAGAAGGUGGGGAGGAUAAAAUUUGGAGCAAGAUUCUCAAGGAAGCAACAAGAUCCUAAGGAAAGGAGAAAGAGACUACCUACUGCAUUUCUGUCACUCGCUGAAAAGGACACUCUGUCAGAAAAUCUUCUAGCAAACUUCAAAGGGCAAAAUCACCCCUUGUUACUGAUAAAGCCCAGAGAGCUUCAGCAGCUAACAUUCCCUGGACAGGGCACAGCAAGGAUUUGAACCUAGGUCAGUCUGGCCAGAACACCCACAAGCUUUCCUUAACUCAGUGUGCUAUCUCCCCACGACUAGGUCACUACUGCUUUAUAAUCACCUUUGUAGCCACCAGUGGAUUUUGCUCAUCAGUAUUUUUCAGGCAAUUGAUACUUUAGAUAUUCAGCUGCAAGACGUAUGCAGUUUUCAUUGACAUCUUUUGGAGAAACUGACAAACCUGGACUUGACUUAAUGCCUUUGGAACCUUCCAAGAUGUUAUAUAACUCUAGAUAGAAGGCUGGGCCUCCAUGAUGUCAGGAAUGUUGCAUUCUUAUUUCCCCAUAGAUAAACCCAUUUGUCCACAAAGUCAAGGAGUCAGGCAGAGGCCCUUGCCAUGGGGCUUUUUAGGAUAAAGCAACAAGCCUGGACUUUGCUCUACAACAGGGUUUUGCAUAGGGAGUGGUAUGACCAGAUCCCUCAAGAAAGAAAGCUUAGAGACCAGGCCAGAGUCCACUGCAGUAGCCCAGUCAAGAGAGGAUGGUGACUUGGACUUGUAGUAGAGCCAGUUAGAAUGAAAGAAAUUGACACAUUCAGAAAUGGUUUUAGAGAUAGAGUCAAACUGGACCUGAUAAAGAACUAGAGAAGCGGAGUGAGGAUAAAGAGAAGAGCCAUGACUGACUCGGAAGAUUUUGUCUUGAAAAACUUGAGAACUCAAGACAGAGUGAAAUAAAAUCACAUGUGGGAAAAA
ensembl:lncRNA MIR4435-2HG MIR4435-2 host gene